GGGCGGCUAGCUCAGUUGGCAGAGCGUCUGCUUUACACGCAGAAUGUCAGGGGUUCGAGUCCCUUGCCGCCCACCU
rnacentral:tRNA from 1 species